CACCGCUGCCCUCCUUGGGCGUUUCCUCCCUAGACUUGGGCCGUUCGCCAACGCGGACGGCCCCCUUUUCUUCAAGUC
rnacentral:sRNA from 1 species